CAGGAUGGAUUCUGCUACAUUGGCGACAUUUGUAUACCUGAUGGUGACGCGGAUCUUGACAACGCAUGCAAUGUUUGUAACAUAUCAAAAAAUCCAUUCCAGUGGUCAAAUGUUUGUCCAACAACAACUGUAACCACAAGAAGUACAGAAGAAGUGACAACUACAACAAAAAGACUUUCCACGCUAUUAAGUACAGUGCAAAGUACGACCAAACUUGCAGUGCCAACCACAGAAAGUCCAGCGCCUCCCCUACUGCGUAACAUUGUUCCUGAACUCAAGUUCACAAAGACAGAGAGUAGACAGGAUAACACGACAGAUACUGUUAUCACAUAUAUACCUGAUCUUCAAUUCCGAUGUAAUUUCAGUAUAUUAAGCCAAUAUUUGUAC